rfam:Pteropus alecto contig59038, whole genome shotgun sequence.
GUCUACGGCCAUGUUACCCUGAACAAGCCAGAUCUCAUCUGAUCUCGGAAGCUAAGCAGAGAUGGGCCUGGUUAGUAUUUGGAUGGGAGACCACCUAGGAAGACCAGGUGCUGUAGGCG